GCCAGUGUGUCUCCAUGUAUUUUUCCUUUCUGCCAGCUGGAUUAUGCUGAUGACUACAAGCCCCUGGGCUUGACUACAAGCCACAAGAAAGAGGGUGCCCUGAUGGAGAGCAGCCCGCUGACCCGGAACACCCACCAUCAAUUAUUAUGGAAAGUACAUGUGAAAACCCAAGACGGGAGACCACAAAUACGAAAUUACCCAGCUGUGCUCUAUGAUCUUACCACCUGUAACCCACAUAAGAAAAAUAGAAAUAAUUCUUAAAGGAAUAAUCUUAAAAUAACCAGCUAAAAGUUUAUUGACAACAGCAACAACAAGUUGGAAUUUCUGCUUAUUUAGUCAGCUUGUAUGGGUAAAUAUUACCUACAUUCCUUGAUUCAUGGUAUGGUAUAUUUCUAACCCAAUUUGCUAUCAGUCAAAACCAAAUUAUUAACAAUAUACAAAAAUCAGUUGUAUUUCUAUCCACUGGCAAUGAACAAUCUGAAAAUGAAAUUAAGAAACAAGUCCACAUAUGAUAACAUCAAAAGGAAUAAAAUAUUAAGGAUCAAAUUUAACCAAAGAAGCAUAAGACUUAUACAUUGAAAACUAUAAAACAUAGUUGAAAGAAAUUAAACAAGACUUAAAGAAAUGGAAAGUCAGCCCAUGUUCAUGGAUUGGAAGACAUAAUAUUGUUAAGAAGGCAGUACUCUCCAAACGCAGCUACAGAUUUAAUGCAAUUCCUAUCAAAAUUCCAAUAGUCUUUUUUUUUUUCAGAAAUGAAUAAGCUGUUCCUAAAAUUCAUAUGAAAACUCAAGGGACCCCCAAAUAGCCGAAACAACAUUGAAAGAACAAAGCUGGUGGAUUGACACUUUCCAACUUCAAAAUUUACUACAAAGCUACAAUAACCAAGACAGUGUGGUAUUAGAAUAAGGAAAGACAUAAGCCAAUGGAAAAGAAUCAAGAGCCCAAAACCAAACCCAAAUAUCUAUGAUCAGUUAGUUUUCAACAAAAGUGCCAAGACAACUCAAUAAGCAAAAAAUAGUUUUUCUCAAUAAAUGGUGCUGGGACAACU
rnacentral:lncRNA from 1 species